rnacentral:rRNA from 1 species
UUGGAGGGCAAGUCUGGUGCCAGCAGCCGCGGUAAUUCCAGCUCCAAUAGCGUAUAUUAAAGUUGUUGCAGUUAAAAAGCUCGUAGUUGAAUUUCGGGAUCAAUGUUUCGGUCAUGCCGUUGGUAUGUACUGAUAUUAUUGGUUUCUCACCUUCUAAAGAACCGUAAUGCCAUUAAUUUGGUGUCACGGGGAAUUAGGACUGUUACCUUGAAAAAAUUAGAGUGUUUAAAGCAGGCUCACGCUUGAAUACAUUAGCAUGGAAUAAUGAAAUAGGACAUCCGAUUCUAUUUUGUUGGUUUCUAGGAUCGAUGUAAUGAUUAAUAGGGAUAGUUGGGGGCAUUAGUAUUCAAUUGUCAGAGGUGAAAUUCUUGGAUUUAUUGAAGACUAUCUACUGCGAAAGCAUUUGCCAAGGAUGUUUUCAUUAAUCAAGAACGAAAGUUAGGGGAUCGAAGACGAUCAGAUACCGUCGUAGUCUUAACCAUAAACUAUGCCGACUAGGGAUCGGAUGAUGUUAAUUUUUUAAUGACUCAUUCGGCACCUUACGGGAAAC